AACGAACGCUGGCGGCAUGCCUAACACAUGCAAGUCGAACGAGAUCUUCGGGUCUAGUGGCGCACGGGUGCGUAACGCGUGGGAAUCUGCCCUUUGGUUCGGAAUAACAGUUGGAAACGACUGCUAAUACCGGAUGAUGACGAAAGUCCAAAGAUUUAUCGCCAGAGGAUGGGCCCGCGUAGGAUUAGCUAGUUGGGGUGGUAAAGGCGCACCAAGGCGACGAUCCUUAGCUGGGCUGAGAGGAUGAUCAGCCACACUGGGGCUGAGACACGGCCCAGACUCCUACGGGAGGCAGCAGUGGGGAAUAGCGGACAAUGGGCGAAAGCCUGAUCCAGCAAUGCCGCGUGAGUGAUGAAGGCCUUAGGGUUGUAAAGCUCUUUUACCCGGGAUGAUAAUGACAGUACCGGGAGAAUAAGCUCCGGCUAACUCCGUGCCAGCCGCCGCAGUAA
rnacentral:rRNA from 1 species